UCUGGUUAAAAUAACAGAGAGGAUACACCUGUUCCCAUUCCGAACGCAGAAGUUAAGCUUUCUAGCGCUUAUGGUGCUUGGUGGGAAACUGCAUGGGAGAGUAGUACAUUGCCUCGU
rnacentral:rRNA from 1 species